GGGCGAAGCUGAUCUUCAUACCGCGUGUGUGAAGAAGGCCUUAGGGUUGUAAAGCACUUCAAUUGGAAGGAAAACCUCAGGGUUAAUACCCCUGAGCUUGACAUUACCUUUAGAAGAAGCACCGGCUAACUCCGUGCCAGCAGCCGCGGUAAUACGGAGGGUGCAAGCGUUAAUCGGAAUUACUGGGCGUAAAGCGUGCGUAGGCGGCUUUGUAAGCCAGAUGUGAAAGCCCUGGGCUUAACCUGGGAACUGCAUUUGGAACUGCAAAGCUAGAGUUUGGAAGAGGAGAGUGGAAUUUCAGGUGUAGCGGUGAAAUGCGUAGAGAUCUGAAGGAACAUCAGUGGCGAAGGCGACUCUCUGGUCUAAAACUGACGCUGAGGUACGAAAGCGUGGGUAGCAAACAGGAUUAGAUACCCUGGUAGUCCACGCCGUUAAACGAUGUCAACUAAGCCGUUGGCUCUCUAUGAGAGUUAGUGGCGCAGCUAAAGCAUUAAGUUGACCGCCUGGGGAGUACGGACGCAACGUUACAACUCCAAUGAAUUG
rnacentral:rRNA from 1 species